UACGUAGGGUGCAAGCGUUAUCCGGAAUUAUUGGGCGUAAAGCGCGCGCAGGCGGUCCUUUAAGCCUGAUGUGAAAGCCCACGGCUCAACCGUGGAGGGUCAUUGGAAACUGGGGGACUUGAGUACAGAAGAGGAAAGCGGAAUUCCACGUGUAGCGGUGAAAUGCGUAGAGAUGUGGAGGAACACCAGUGGCGAAGGCGGCUUUCUGGUCUGUAACUGACGCUGAGGCGCGAAAGCGUGGGGAGCAAACAGG
rnacentral:rRNA from 1 species